UCUUAAUAUACUCAGUCCUCAGUUGGCUAACCUUGAACAACUAAUUUUACUGUUUUCUAGAAAAAUUCAGGCAACUUUGGGUAAUUUUAGACCACUAAGUGAAUUAGCUAUAGACAGAUAAAGUCCAAAGCUAAUAACUUCAUAAUUUAGUAACUUAAGCAUAUUGAGCUGAAAAAUCAGAGAUAUCAAACUAAGGGAACCAACUUUGAAAAACAGAUCAUGAAUCUUUCCAUAUAUAAAAAUGGAGUACGGACUUCGAUAUUUCAAAGAAAGGUCAGACAGAGUGAUGAGUGUGUCUUCUCAUAUUCACUGCUGUGAUCAUGCAACGGAAAGGAGACAAAGUACAGAAAUGUCUGACUUUUGCAAUCUCAGUGUGCCUAACAUCAAGCCUCCAGAAAAUGAGACCAGAAGAUAGGCCUGUCAAAGUGUUCAAGCAUGCUCCUAAAUCCAGAUGAAUUGAAAAGGCAGAAACUGGUGCAUAAGUAUUUUGCUGAAUCUAAGCUGCAACUACAGUAUAUUUAGAAAAGAUAAUGUUUGCAAUAUAGAAAGAUCUGUUUUUUUUCUAAAAUGACUGUGUCCACAGGAAGGUAAAGGACAUCUCUAUAUGCUCUCUAACGUGAUUUAUUAACACUAAGAAUAUUCCCUGGCAGAGCUUGUUGCACUGCUCAAGAAGACAAGGAAGUGUGGAGACAUUGUUUUACAAAUCCCAUGCGGAAAGAAUUCUUUAAAAUGAAAACCUCAUUGAAACAAAAUAUCAGAAAUACUUAUGAUAAAAGGAAGAAACCAUUACUUUCAUCUUAAAGACCUCAUAAAAAUACUUUUAAUAAGGCUUUUGUUAUUUUUUCCUUUUCAGUACAAAUGGCCUAAGCAAAGCAUGAGAAUGCUAAUCUUCUUAUCCCUCCUGUUACAUAGGGUAUUUUAUGAAAAAAAAACACAUCGAUGAAGUUUAGAGCUUGAACUAAGACUGGAGCCAGUGGCCCAGACAAUUCAGUUAUGCUAUUACUUUCAGAGGUUCUUUUCAGUUUGUAUGGUAGGGCACCAAUUACAAGAUAUUUUUAUUCUCUCAUAUCUGUUCAAACAGAAAAAAUAUUAUUUUUUAAUUUGGCAUCAGGAGCAGGUCUGGAUCAUUGUUAGCAACAUGAUAAAGGCUCAACAGUAAAAAAAUAAAUCUGCAUAAGGACAAAACUAAAGCUUCUUAGAGUAUCAGGAAUGUUCUCUGGUGUGCAUCUUUCAGGUCUUGGUGAUUAAUUCCAAUUGCAUCCUUUGAAAUAGGAAAGUACGAUGGCAACCAGCCAGCCUCUCAAAACCAAAAUGCAUUAGAAUGACAGCAACUUCUAAACUGGAGCUUGGCGAGGUGCUGGGAGUGAUGCCACGUACUGCAGGGCUCAGAUGUGCUUUGACAGGAAGAGUGCUUCCAGCUUAGCACCACCAAACCCUGUUAUGUUUGGGAGGCAGAUGGAGACAAGCAAUCUGCCACUGCCAUCUGUAACCAAACCCUUGCAUAAAAACAGAACUGCUGUGAUAAAGUCACAGCAUAUGUCCCCAGAAAAGAUUGUCUGUAAAGUCUGGAGUCUGCUUUUCACACUUCUGGUGUCCCUAAAACUGACCCACCAGUGCC